rnacentral:tRNA from 1 species
GCAGUGGUUCAGUGGUAGGAUUCUCACCUUCUAUGCAGGAGACCCGGGUUUGAUUCCCGGCCAAUGCG